UACGUAGGGGGCUAGCGUUGUCCGGAAUUAUUGGGCGUAAAGGGCGCGUAGGCGGCUUGGCAAGUGGAAGGUGAAAUCCCUCGGCUUAACCGAGGAACUGCCUUCCAGACUGCUUUGCUUGAGGCCGGGAGAGGCGAGUGGAAUUCCCAGUGUAGCGGUGAAAUGCGUAGAUAUUGGGAGGAACACCAGUGGCGAAGGCGGCUCGCUGGACCGGUUCUGACGCUGAGGCGCGAAAGCGUGGGGAGCAAACGGG
rnacentral:rRNA from 1 species